GCUCUGGGUAGCUGGACGGCCGACAACUGCGGGGCAUUGCUCCUGGGGCAGGUCAUGAACGGGCCGGCGGACGGCGAAGUGGACUACAAGAAGAAAUACCGGAACCUGAAGCGGAAGCUCAAGUUCCUCAUCUACGAACACGAGUGCUUCCAGGAGGAGCUGAGGAAGGCGCAGAGGAAGUUGCUGAAGGUGUCCCGGGAUAAGAGUUUCCUCCUAGACCGACUUCUGCAGUACGAGAAUGUGGAUGAAGAUUCUUCUGACUCAGAUGCCACUGCAUCUUCAGAUAACAGCGAGACAGAGGGAACACCCAAGUUGUCGGACACGCCAGCCCCCAAGAGGAAGAGAAGCCCUCCACUGGGGGGUGCCCCCUCCCCCUCCAGCCUCUCCCUGCCUCCUUCAACGGGGUUUCCCCUUCAGGCCUCCACGGCCCCCUCCCCGUACCUGAGCUCGCUGGCUUCCCCCCCCUACCCCCCAUUCCCUUCUGACUACCUGGCCCUGCAGCUGCCCGAGCCCAGCCCCCUGAGGCCCAAGCGGGAGAAACGGCCCCGCCUGCCCCGGAAACUCAAGGUGGCCUGUGAUGCCGGGCAGCCCCAGAGGACGGGCAGAGCUGUGGGAUCUGGAGUCGAGUCAAGACUGCACCAGUUAGAAACCAUGUGACCUUGAGCAGGUCUCUCUGACCGUCGAGGCCUCUUCUGCAUGCGUAAAUGAGUGCUCAAACCACAUGUAGAAUGAGUGUUCCUGGGGCACCUGCUGUGUACCAGGCACUGUCCGAGGUGCUGCCGGUGCGGUAGCGAACAGAACAGACAAAAAUCCCCGCCUUCACGAAGCUCCCAUUCUAGCAAGAGAGGUGGAAAGCAGACAAGAUAAGUAGGUGCCAGCGCCGAGAAAUGGGGCCAGGUAGAGCGGGUGGGAAGCUCCAGAGUAGAGAGGGGCUGGUAUUGUUGGGUGGGUGGUCUGGGACAUUAUUUGGUCAGAGGCUUAAAAGAAAUGAGAAGCGAGCAUGUGGCUCUCUGAACAGGUGUUUCAGGGAGAGCCAGCAGUGCAGAGGCCCCCAGCAGGAAGGAGGCCAGUGUGGUCGGAGGCAAGGGAGGGGUGGUGGGUGGUGGUGAGCAGGUCAGAGAAAUAACCAGGGGGCAGGAUGGUGGAGCGCCCUCUCAGUGUCGCAGAGACUCGCUUGUACUGUGAAUGAAAUGGGGAGCCGUUGCAGGAGAUCGGGCCAAGGGGAGUCUGCUCUGUUUUAUGGAACUCACAGCUGUGUGGAGAACAGACCAGGGAGGCGCUGGGUCAGGAUGCAAGUGGGGAGACCCCCGAGGAGGCUUCUGCAGUAAAGCAGGGUAUAGAGCCGCCAAAAAGUGGCUGACGCAUCGAUUUCAAAGAUGGAGCCAUGGGAAGACCAGCGCGGGCUGUGGGAAAGAGCGGAGCCCAGGGGCAGCUCCAGGGUUUGGGGCCCGAGCAACUGAAGAAGAGGGGUAGCCUCCCUCUGAGCCCGGGAGGAGCAGCUGUGGGAGGGAAGACGAGGAGUUGGGACAUGCUGAAUGCUGUCUGGAAAGGCCAGCGAGAUACAGGAGGCCGCCAGCCUGGGGCUCGUGGGGUGCACUGAAGUCCUCAGCGUGGAGGUGGGUGUGAUUGUUGGGGGAGAACAUGGCUGGAGAGGGGAAGGGAGAGGCCUGCACGCUGAGUCCCAGGAGGGAGUAGGGCCCAGGAGGCACAGUGCCCUUCCAGCUCCGAGUCAGGGUGGAACUGGGACUAGACAGGACACCUUUCAAAGUGGGUAGACGGGGGCCAGAGGCGAAAUGGGAGGUCAUCGUUCGUGGUGGUUAGGAGUGCUGGUUCGGGGUUCAAAUCCCAGCUCCGCCUCUUACCCUCCAUGUGACCUUGGCACCACACUCUCCUCGGCAGGCUUUUGCUUCUGGCCUGUAGGGUGGGAUGGUGCGGAAGGCCAGGGGCGGUGAAGCCUGGAGCCGAUGGGUGGAGGCGUGGCACGCGUGUGGCAUUGCGGUGUGAGGCUGAGGUGCUGGGUCCUGACGGAGAGGUGAUGGGGAGCUGAGUUGUGGCCAUCGAGGAGAGAGGAGGUUGGUUGAGAGACGGGCCCAGAUCAGUUGCUGUGGUGGAGGAGGGGGUAAAUCAGGGAAGGCCUCAAAGAAGAGAUAACAUCUGAGCCCAGGAGAGGUGAGAUUUGGAAAUUGCAGGCUCAGCAAGAGUGGAAGGAGGACAGGGAUGUGGCAGAAGUAUUGUUUGGGCUGACGCAGGAGGGAGAAGGGAGAAGGACAGUGGACAGAAACAUAGGGUGAGGGGGGAUCACAGAGGUCUGGGUGCCCAGGGCCAGGAGGUCCUUGUAAAGGGAUGGGCGUCACUGAAGUUUCUGGGUGGCUUGAUCUGAGGAGACAAAGGACAGCCGUGAAAACAGGAGCAGGUCAGUUAAGGGCCUGGGCCCGUCAGAUGGAGUGGGUUUGAGUCCUCCACACACUUUCCCGUGUGACCUUGGGCAAGUCAUUUCACUUUCUGAGCCUCAGCUUCUCUGUUUGGUGGGGUCAGUGUAGAAUAAAGUGAGUUUAGGGAGAGAAAACACAUAGCCCAGUGCCUGGUCCCUAGUAAGCUGUGGAUAAACAAGAGCUGCUCUUGGUCACACAGAGGCCAUUGAGGAAGGCCAGGAAGGGGUGGGACGUAAGGACUAGGGUGGGGGUCCAAAGGUGGCAGCCAGAGGAGGGGGGCUGUCCUCAUGGAGCUGGGCCUCUUGUCUGUCACCAGUCCUGGCCAACUCCUGUACCCUGAGGCACUGACCGGGAGGUAAAGGCCAACUCUGGCCCUCCACCACCCCAAGGACAGCAGUGGGGCUGGGGGCUCCUGGAGAGGCAGCCGGUAGGCCAUGAGGGCGGAAGGUGUGAAAGCAGGCCCCGGGGGCCGCUGCAGAGACACACGUAAGCGCUUCCUGCCGCCGCCACCCGGCAUAUGGGACCUGCCCAGCGGGGACCCAGGCGGCAUACGGGACCUGCCCAGCGGGGACCCAGCAGGCCUGUGCCUCGGAGUCUUCAUUUGCAAGUCUCAGAUUCCUCCUCUGGCCCGUGACCUCCCCUCCCUUCCAGGGUGGUCGGAAUGGUCGUUAAUGGCAGUCACCUGGCACGUAGCAGGUGCUGUUUGGGCCCACAGAGCUCUCUGGUGGGGUGGGGGUGGGGGGAGUCCUGGCAGGGGGCGGGGGCUGGAGGGUUGGGCAGGACAGAGGCCACGUCCCAGCCUCAGAGGACAAAGCAAGACUUUAAUGGCUAGAAAAGGACACUCCAGGUGGAGGGGCUGGCCUGUUGUCGGGCACAGCUUCCCACCUGUCCCUUGCGUGGGGGAAUGACGCGCUCAGGUCUGUGUUUUAGAGAGCUCACUCUGGCUGCAGUGUGGAAGAGCUGACUCUGGGAGAGGCUGAAGGCAGGGAGUCCAGUUAGGAGGCUGGUACUGUAGCCCAGAUGGCGGUGGGCCCCCCCGACUGCCCUGUGGGAGGGCCGCUGACCUUCCCAGGCCGGGG